CCAACACCCCGCCCAGACCAGGCUGGAUCUGCGGCGAGUGUAAGUGUUCAGAGGUUAU
rnacentral:rRNA from 1 species